rnacentral:lncRNA from 10 species
CUGGGUGAUUAAUAAACUAAUUGACACGGGGGACACUUGUCACUGGCGAAGCAGCUCCCUAGCCAAAGCGAGGAGCAACUACAUAGCGUCUCCCGGGGAGCUGGGAAGUGACAGUCUACACCCGCUUCCGGGCUCCCCGUGACAUAGGCCAGCCGGGCCUCCAUUUACACCUCAAAGCAAAGUCACAGAGGGAUCCGCCCCUUUCCUGGCUGCCUACACAGAAAGCAGCCAUGGGAGACUUGCCGAGGACUUUGUCCACCAAGUGAUGAAAGCAUGCAAAUGCCUCCGAAUCAAAGAUGAGGAAAACAAAAGCUCAGAAACUAUCUUGGAGUCAGCAAGUAAGAAGGAGCUUAGAAAGGCUUAACAUUUUCCAUGCUUCUGCCUGGCUUCAGAGCCCAUGCACUCUGCCUUACCACGGCAGGUGAAAGAUGGCCCCAAAUUCUUAGGUACAUCUCCUGCCAAAAGACCCCUCCUAUGGGUUCUGUGACUACUUCAAUGAAAAGAAUAGGGCAGAAGAGAUGAUGAGAACUUAACAUCUGGCAGUGUCCAUUUCCUGUCUUUUGAAACUUUCUGUUAAAGGCCUGAGCCACGUAUGAAGUGUGAAUCUUCACACCAUGCAAGAGAAGCCACAUGUUAUUGCUCUGGUCAACAAUCCCAGCUGACCCAACCAGAUAGUGUAUCAGGCAUAUGAGUAAAGCAUUCUUAGAUUCUUCAGUCCAGCCCUUCACCAGCAGAACACCAUUCAGCAACCCUUGUCGGCAUCAUGUGGGACAGAAGAACCACCCAGCUGAGCCUUAUCCAAAUUCCUGACCACAAAAUCAUAAGCCCUGAGAGAGCAAGACCAGCCCCUUCUUUUCUUCCACCUCCUCAUCUACUCAACAUGUAUCUUCAUUCUCAAGACGAUGAGGAUGAAGACCUUUAUGAUGCUCCACUCCCAGUUAAUAAAUAGUGAUGAAAUUGAGACCUCGCAGUUAAAUGUUUAAGUCAGGAUGAACUACUUUUCCAGGGAUGGUGAAGCCGGAGCUCUGGAUGGCACUCCUGGAUCUCCUAAAUCUUGAUUCCGUGCUCUUUUCUCCCCACUUGGCUCCACUGUUUUGGCAGAGUCCCUUAAGAUGGACCUGAUUGGAUGAUGUGGAACUAGCCAUGCAGAAAGAACAGAGGGUGGGAAAACAAAUGAGGUCAGAGAGUCCUCAUAUUAGUCGGUUCUUGCACUGCUAUAAAGAACUAUCUGAGGCUGGAUAAUUUAUGAAGAAAAGAGGUUUACUUGACUCACGGUUCCACAGGCUGUACAGGAGGCAUAGCUGGGGAGUCCUCAGGAAACUUAACAAUCAUAGCAGAAGACAAAAAAGAAGUAAGCAUGUCUUCACAUAGCCAGCAAGAGAGAGAGACAGAGACCAAAGCAGGAGGUGCUAUACACUUUAAAACAACCAGAUCUCAUGAGAACUCUUUCAGGAGAACAGCAAGGGGAAAGUUUGCCUCCAUGAUUCAAUCACCUCCCACCAGGCCUUUCCUCUAAUACUGGGAAUUACAAUUGAACAUGAGAUUUGAGUGAGGACAAAGAGCCAACCAUAUCAGUCCUCUUCAGUUGUUGGUACCUAUGUGGGGAGAAGGAGCUGUGUAGAGUGGGUGUGACUAAGUCGGUCAGAACUGGGAAGCAUGGCAGACUAGGCUGUCCUGCAACCGGAGGGUGGUUUCAGAAUCCAGAGCCUGGGAUAGCAUUCCCUGGACCCUCAGUCCAUACCUGCUAUCUACAGGCAGCUAGAGAAAACGUAAGAAUCAGCAUCGGUCACAGGUGACAUUGGGGCAGGGCACUGAGCUCCCUGCUCUCCACUGCGGCUGCAGUCUUUAAACUCCUUAUUCUAUCCAGCACAGACAGUUUGCAGACGAAGGUUUCUGCACCGGCAUCUCUGCUCAGAAGAGAUUUGCUGAUGUAACAAUUAUUUGCACUAUUUAUAUUCAAAUGUUCUUUUAAAAAAAUGCAGCCUCUAAAUUUACGGAUAGUAACUGUGUGCAAAUCAGGAAACUUAUCUCCUUUUUAUAGUCUAAAAUCAAAUUACACUUUACAUUUUUCUCACUUGCAGAAUAUUAGAUUGUGAUGCCUAAAUGACUUGUGUUUAUGAAAAAGGUGAAUUUUAAGAACAAAUUUUAAAACUGCAUAAGCAGUUUAAUGGGUGUUUUUAGAAAGUGAGAAUGAUCAGCUGGUAAGCAUUUAUUAUAUAUUAAACUGGAAGUUAUAUCGUCGCAUCCGUUAGCACUGAAUUCUGAAAAUCAUCAUGGCCCAGGUUUGUGUUUAUGAAAUGAUGGACCACAGGACUGUUAAAUAAAGUUGUAAAAAAAAAGUUGGUCGAUGUCCCUGUUUUUUCACUAGUUUUCUGACCUGUAAUCUGAGAUCUGAUUGAGUUCUCAAUAUCCUGCAAGUCACAGAUUCUAUCCCCAUUUAUGCACACGAUUGUAGUUGUCUCAUGGUUUUCAGUGUUCUUAAUGAGCUGUUAACAAGCUGUCAAUUACCUAUGCAAAUUAGGGAGGCCAACAUUGAGGGGUGGCUGUAUCUGCAGUUAAAGAGUGCUACCUUGGAAUGUUAUGAAAUCAAUCAUUCUUGCUUUAAUAGCUAUCUUUACUCAUGUGUCUCUUGUCAUGUCUGGGUCUUUUUUCAUUAUAAUACCUACCGCAUAAGAAAAGCCCUCUGGGAAUUUUGAAGGUGCUUAGAAAGGAGCUUACCCAAAUCUUUCAUAACUUUUAACUUGGCUUAAAGAUUGCCUAAAAUGCAGGCUUACUUUUUCACCUGUCUUUCCAG